rnacentral:tRNA from 1 species
CGCGGUCUAGUGUAAUAGUUAACAUUUUUAGCUCAUGACUAAAAGAAGAAGGUGCGAAUCCUUUGUCCGCAUU